AUGUAAAUUUUUGUGUGAGCUGUUAUUUAUUUAAAUAGUAAAUGAUUUUUAUUUUUAAUCGCAGUAAUUAGUAUUAUUAGUUAAAGAAAUUUAGAAAUAGUGAUAUUAAAAGUAUUGACAAAAUUUGUGCCAGCAGUCGCGGUUACACAAAUAAUACGAAUAAAUUUUUUUAGUAAAAGUUAAUUUAAUUUUUUUUUAAUUUUAAAUGAAUUUGUUAGGUGAAAUUUUUAAAUUUAUUAAAUUUAUAAAUAAUAAUAGAUAAAGCUUGUAAAUUUUAAUUAAAAACUAGGAUUAGAUACCCUAUUAUUUAAAAUGUAAGUUAAAUUAUUAAAGUAGUAUUAGUUAUGAUCUUAAAACUUAAAAAAUUUGGCGGUAUUUUAGUUUAUUCAGAGGAACCUGUUCUAUAAUCGAUAAUCCGCGAUGGACCUUACUUGAAUUUGUUUAUCAGUUUAUAUACCGUCGUUAUCAGAAUAUUUUAUAAGAAUAAUAAUUUUCUGUAAUUUUUAUUAAAAUUAAUAUCAGAUCAAGGUGUAGCUUAUAUUUAAGAAGAAAUGGGUUACAAUAAUUUUAUUUAUAUGGAUAUAAUUAUGAAAAAUUUAUUGAAAGUGGAUCUGAUAGUAAAAUUAUAUAGAUUAAUAAUUUGAUUUUAACUCUAAAAUAUGUACACAUCGCCCGUCGCUCUUGUUAUUAAAAUAAGAUAAGUCGUAACAUAGUAGAUGUACUGGAAAGUGUAUCUAGAAUG
rnacentral:ncRNA from 1 species